CCUACGGGGGGUAGCAGUGGGGGAUAUUGCACAAUGGGGGAAACCCUGAUGCAGCGACGCCGCGUGUGGGAAGACGGUCCUCUGGAUUGUAAACCACUGUCCCCAGGGACGAAGAUGACGGUACCUGGGGAGUACGCUCCGGCUAACUACGUGCCAGCAGCCGCGGUCAUACGUAGGGACCGAGCGUGGUCCGGAAUUACUGGGUGUAAAGGGAGCGUAGGCGGGGAUGCAAGUUGGGUGUCAAAACUACCGGCUCAACUGGUAGUCGCACUCAAAACUGCAGCUCUUGAGUGAAGUAGAGGCAGGCGGAAUUCCGAGUGUAGCGGUGAAAUGCGUAGAUAUUAGGAGGAACACCAGUGGCGAAGGCGGCCUGCUGGGCUUUUACUGACGCUGAGGCUCGAAAGUGUGGGGAGCAAACAGGAUUAGAUACCCCUAGUAGUC
rnacentral:rRNA from 1 species